rnacentral:rRNA from 1 species
CCUACGGGAGGCAGCAGUAGGGAAUCUUCCACAAUGGACGAAAGUCUGAUGGAGCAACGCCGCGUGAGUGAAGAAGGGUUUCGGCUCGUAAAACUCUGUUGUUAGAGAAGAACAGCCGUGAGAGCAACUGCUCACGGUAUGACGGUAUCUAACCAGAAAGUCACGGCUAACUACGUGCCAGCAGCCGCGGUAAU